UCAGCAUCAUAAUCUGUAUGAAAAUGUAAUUUACAUUCAAAACAACCGCACACGCAGUGCCAUCCCGUUUUAAUUAAUAUUUAUAUUUACAACCAUCUCCAUCGUCGUUUGAGGGUAGAAUGUGCGGAGUGUAUGUAUAGUACAUCCCGGAAACACUUUGGAUGUCAACCCAAUUUGUGACAACCUCAGCAGCGUGUAAAAGGAAAUGGGAGUGGGGAGAGGGUUAGACUAGCAAUACCCCUUGGUGAGCGGUGGAAAUACAACAAACGUUUACUGCGAUGACUCCCGUGGCUAGUGUGUGUGUGUGUGUGCGCGGAUAUCAGCGACGCCUACUAAGCAAUUCAAAACGAGCCAGAAGCGUAGUUCAAAUUUCACUACGUGCUGCUACGUUGUGCUGGGAAGGUUUGACCGGAGUGAAAUGGACAGGUUUAUCGUAAUUUUGGGACUCAUGCCAGCUGAACGGACAACAACAACAAUUCUUCAGUGCUUGCAGUCGUGCGGCAAUAACAACCAUCGCAUUGGAAAUUGAAAAUCGGCAGUACACGGAAACAUGCAACCCUAGGGUGAGGAUGGGCACGGCCGUUUUAAUUAAAGCAUCGAGCGAAAAUUUAUAGAAUCGUGAGAGAAGUAACGCAAAGUACCGGUACCGCCGAAACGUGGCCAUACAACUCGGUAACCUACUUCCAAGGGUUUGGGAUGGGGGCGCAUAGUCAACACGCUACCGACACACGUACCUCUGGAAUAUCAAGUGCACGGGGUUGCUUUGUGGAAGAGAAGUGGGAAACAUAAAAAUCAAAGCAAUGGGCAGCAAUGGAAAAGAGUCGGAAAGGAACAAGCGCUUGUAGAUAGUAUUUCUAUCAAAUGAAAAUCUGUCCCCAGACAGUGUCCCGCCACACACUUUCCAUUCACCGUCCCUCAGGGAACACAGGAGAGUGUUUGGCGUACAAGGUGAGAGAAUGCAAAAAUUAAAAAAGGGCAAAACAAGACGCGGAAGAAAACUCAAGGCAAAAUUAAAUCAACACUUUACGAUCCCCGGGCAACGGCGGUUGUCAUCGAGCGUCGCGCUCGUAAUGUUGCCGGGCGUCACGAGCUGCAAAACGGAAAACGUGCUGGAAGUAUAAAUCUUUAUUGCAAUCACAACGACCCCACCGGGGACGGCCGGACACCUGGGUGAUACCGAGAGACAGGUCCUGCUGGUGGACAGGUGAAAGAUGAGGCAGAGGGAGAUGGGAACGUGUAUCGCUCAAGCGUCGCUCGUACCGGUGGAAGCUUGCAAGUCAUCGUUCGUUCAUCCAUUUGAAGGAGGAGCACCAUAAAUUUGUAUCCGAUUUUGCGUUUACUGAUUUAAUUUCCUGAAAUCCCAUUUUCGCGUGAAGGGUUUAAGAGUGGUUACAAAAUCGGUAUGAAAAAUUGCUCCUUCCAUUGCAGCAACACAAGCAAAAACGUGCCACAAUCAAAUGGGUAAAUUUUCCCAUUUAUUUCUUUGUUGGUGUCUAAACUAUCUCUGCGAUUGAAUUAUUGACCGCCAGCAUGUGGAUGAUACGCUACAUGGCACUGCUCAUCAUCAUUGCACACGGGGGAUUUCACUCUCUGGAGGAAAUUCGUUCCACGGUAGCGGACUGGGGACAAUAAACUAAACUAUAACACCCACCCGCCCUUAUCUGACACCGGAUGAAAGGUGCCUGACCACUGGCCACUAACCGGUGUUGCUGACAUUUCAUCGACUGGGCACCCACUUGACGUUGGCGGCCAACGGUGCGUAGAUAUACACGACCCAUUGCCCAUGUGUUUCGAUAUCCGGCUGGUGGUUCGCCUGGCUGGUGGGGGAAAUAUAUGACCAUUCACCACAUUCCGAGUUGGGGUGUUGGUGCUUUUUUGUAUGUGGGUCCAGCCCUUUUCCGGUUUCUACUCGCAUCCGGAACGGAAGUGAUCUUUUUCUGAGGUCGAAAAAAUAGCAAAUGGACAUGUGGGCGUAUGUUUAGCUUUCGAGAGCAUCCAGCACCCAUUCCGCCCCUUUCUUGCCUUUCUUAUCAAGUCCAUGUCAACCGGAGCCACCGAAAGCAAUAACUUCGCGAGCGGAAAGCCAUCCCAGUUUCCAACUUUAGCAACAGUGAUAAAUUACAACUCUUUUUCGCCGGCCGGAAGUUGGGGAAGGACUUCCCAGUCGUGGUGGGCUCGCGCUAUGUUUUACGUUAAAUUAAUUUUAACUGAAAACUUUUCUCUUACAAAACAAAAAAUGGUGGGCGGUAGUGGUUCCCCUCUAUGUGUGUUUGGGCGUGUGUGUGUGUGUCGGUCAUGUGUAGAAAUGUGGGUUUAGACUAAACUGAAGGGCGCAACAAAAAAAAAAAAAACAAAGAAAACAGAACUAAGGCUAAAAUACAACACUACAACCUCAAAGCCUCGGGAUAGUGGGCACAGUCGCUGCGGUUUUAAUAUGUAACGGCCAAAGUGUGGCCUUCGUUUCGUUCCUGUGGGUUGGAUGCGCUACCGAUGCUCGUUUCGUUUUGGUGAACCGCGUUUCCACGGGCCACCACGGCAUGGAGCAUCUGGCAUGUGUACCAUAAUUUUAUAUGCGCCAUCUCUAUUGUCUCGGUCCGGGCGGGUUUUCGUGUCCUUUUUGCCCCGGGACCGUUGGUAUAGGAAGUGGGUUGUGUAUCGCGCUCGUUUUGUUGCUCUUUUUUUGCUAAUGCGUAUGUGUGUGUGUGUGUGUGUUUGUGCAAUGUAUGUGGUUUAUAGUAAUAAAAGUUUUGUGUGUAUUUUUCGCUCCACUCGGUUUGGAAUUAGUGAAGCACUGGGCGGCCGCUGACGUUACGACAUUUCUAGUUUAGGGAGGGGUGGGUUCUAUUUCACUGUACACGUGCAGAAAGGUAAAAAAAACACUCUUAGCAACACUCGCUCGUUACUAUAGUGACGCUUUUUCGCGUAUAGCGGAUGUUAAAAUGUUCGCAAAGAAAAAACAAACCUGCUGUCGCUCGUAUGAGCUGGAUCCUUUUUAGGGUUUGGACGAAGAAACAGAAGCGCCCCAAAAGCCAGUCCCUGUCCAGUGUAUGUGGGUGUACGUGUACGUGUGCGUGUGUGUGUGAUUAACAAUCGCCAUUGCCAUCGAAACUGGGAGUGAAAAAAAAUAGCGACGGUCCCGCUAAAUGAUAAACGAAGAGGAACGAAGCAAUGGCGAUCCGGAUUGUACCACAGUGUGCCGGAAUGUGCGGUGGCGUUCUUUAUGUCACGCGAAAUGAGCAAAAGAUACCCGUGCAAAGAGUAGGAGCAGUGGCAGCACCAGCAAUCGUCCACGAGAGAGAUCUAAGCUUGGGGACACUUUUUGGAGCGUACUCUGGCUGAAUGGUGCUUUAUGACGCUGACAACUUCUGAUCGAACGCAGGGACAGACGGAGCAAAGGUUCGUGGAAAAUGGUUCGUCAUAAGGAAGACCGAUCGAAACUUUUCCACCUGCAGCAAUAUCAACAUCCAGCGGAGAGGCUAAAGCGCAUCACGUGCUUAGCUCGGAUCAAGCUUGGUUACGGAUUCGGAGCAGUUUAUCACUUUACACGCAAACCUUGAAGGCCACAGCAAGAAAAAGAACAAAAGGAACAAGAAAAAAGUAUGUUUUAAUAAGCAAGAAAGAAAAAAGAAAGACCCAGAGUUUGCAAAACAGCUUCGGCAACCUUAAAAACUCAUCCGUGCGCAAGGAGGAAAUGUUUGUUAUAAAGCACUCCCGGCCGAUUAAGAUCAGUACCGACUGAGUGUGCUUGCAGUUCUUGCACGGAUGCGAUGGUGGUUGUCUAUGUAGGAAGUGGAAACUUUUAACUCCGAACCAUCACACCCCAAACCCGCAGUGUACGACGGGAUGGUUGGUUCGCGUCCGAACCACUGUAACGCGCAUCCGGAAGGUUCGGUGCGCGUGUUCUCCGGGCUUUUAACGACACGAAAAGUGCCAAAGUUUGAGCUGCGUUUCCAAGUUCGUGUCCGGCGCCCGCGCGCUCGAGCUGUGUAUGUGUUACUAUGCGAGUCCAUAAAGUUCCGCGUCCGCGGAUGCACCAUGCGCUCGGGCAAAGGCUGUGUGAUGGAUGAAGAGACGGUACCGCUCCCCAACUACCCCAGUACAGUGCGCGGCGAAUGAUUCUUUGCGAGGUGUUUUGCAUUGGCCAAAAAACGAAAAAAAGCAAACAAAAAAAAGUUGCAGGAAACAUCUGCCAAACGCGUGUGGUUGAACAGUGUAAUAUGGCCCGCUGGGCAUUCGGAGAAGUUCAUUAGCGUAAUGUAGUGGAAGUGUUUGGAAAUCUGUGAGUGUGUGUGUACCAUUAAGACAUGCGGCGGACGGAACGCAACACGUAUUUCUAUCCACCAGGAACCGGUAAGGGGAGGACGGAUUUUGGAGUACCUCAGGGGCUUUGGUCGUUAGUAAAAGAGCAGUGAUUUAGCGCGUAGUGGGAUAAGAAGGGCAGACCAUGGGGCCGGGGCACACAUCGGCAAAGUACAAAAUCGUGUUACAUUGCAUCACAUAAUGAUGAUCUAUCCUGUGUGUGUGUGUGUGUGUUUUGUUAGGUUUUGUGCUGUACGGUAUGAAUUGUACGAUCAACCGGUCAGAGGACUACGUUUUGAUGGAUGCAGCCACAACACUGUUGGAAAAAUUGUGCUCUUUUCCGAACAUGAUACUGAAAAUUGGUCCGUUACCAGAUGUACACCAUAAAACCCGCUACGGGUUUGUGGGCCUAUACUGAAGAGGAGAACAGGAGCAACACUAUUUGCAGCACAAUGAGUUAGAUCGAUGGUAAAAUGUGAGCCAUUACAACAAUUGGCAUUCAAUGUUGUUGUGCAUUGCCGAUUGGAAUAAUUCGCUUCUUUCUUUUUUAAAGCAGAAUUCGCAUAUGAUAACAAUGUCCAUUCUCUUCCCACAAGGUGCGCACAACAGCGCACAAAUCGGAGCACGGGAUGCGACCUUUGUUUCCGACCGGAUCAUUCCGCCCUACUCGCAGCAACGGAAUGGGGAUACGGACACGGUGAAUGAAUUGACGUAAUUUAUAUAGCUUGUUGGCUAUCAAUUUUCCAAUGAUUUAUGAUUCACACAAAUACCACUGUCACUGCCGGCAACAGGACAACAUCCCUCCCUUCUCCGUCCCUUUUCCACCACACGCGUCGGAAUGCUAUUUGGCACUCGGAAAAACGGAUCGUGUGCGUACGAUGGAAAAGCCCUGACGUAGGCGGAAGACGGUCGAAAUGUUAGCGACAAGCAUUGUGCAUGCAUGUGCGUGUGUGCUUAUAGUGAUAAUAAAUUACUCACGCUAUUAAAAGUGUUCGUCAGUCCGGCUGGUUUGGUACUUAUAAAUUCACGCACCACAAUGGUAAAAUGCCAACCGUCGGUUUAAUUGGUACAGCGUUUUAGACGCUUGGCGAAGAAUGUAAAUAGGACCAGGGUACGUUUUUACCGAACUAUUGAUUUGUUUUUUUUUGCGCUCCACCGGGAACGGCAUCAAGUACACAUUGCUUUUGUUUCUCUGACCUUGUUUUAGUGCACUGGCUUCUGGCUGACGGAUUUUGGGACGCUCUGCAAAGGCUCUGGUAUCGAUUGUUGGCGAAAACGGACUGGUCUCCUCGUGUGUGUCACGCGAAACAAAGCGGCGAAACAGAUGGCAAACAGAUUGUUUCCACUUAUUUCCGGCCCAUAAACUCGAACCGCGCUGGAUCUGGUGUGUGCUCCCUUUGUGUACACUGAGGAGAGCUGCCUCACUCCCCCAAAACAUGCAGACGCGAAACCUGGGCCCCAGUGUAACACAUUGGAUUUAAGGGGCGAAAUUGUAGGCAGCCGGCGAAAAACACCCUGCCGCCCUUUCUUGCCUCCUUACAAGAGAAGACGAGGCUUGAGCAGAAUCGCUUUGAAGCCCGCUGGUUUCUUACUUCCACCCUCCCCCCAACAAACCGUCAUGCCGUCGUGCCCUGGAAAUGGUACGUUGCCAAGGUCGGAGCAGGAGCAGGACCCGCGGUUGGUGCAACCGGUGCUCUGUGUAGUACGUGCGGCAGUUGGAAAACAAAUCGCCCAGUAGGAGUGGGUGGAAUGUGACCCGCGCAAAUCACUCAUCCGGCAAUUUCUACAGCAUUAUUAUUAUACUCGAUGGAUCAUCAUUAGCAAAAAGGCUGUGCAACGAAUCGAUCUUUAUACACUUGCACAGUUGCAUCGCAUCAAACUGAUUUGGUGAAGUGGGGAAGCAAACGUUGCCCAGAGCCAAGCCGUGGGAUGCUGUUAGAUGAUGGAAUGAUGCAUCCAAACCUACGCCGUGCUCUCCAUCGCUCCCAGUUGUCAUCCCCAAAUCGAAAUGUAAUUAGUGCAGAAAUUCGUCCGUACACUUUCAGCCGUAAGGUCUCUCCUUUCCGGUUUGCCGCUGGGCAGUCAAAGUCGAGCUGCGACGAGCCGAACCGAUGCCGACCCGCUGGCGAAUGUGUCCGAGAUAAUUAGAUAUUUAUCAUCAAUCACAUCGAAAUUAUGCAGUACAAACAGGCGAGUAGGAAUUAGUAAUUAUCGUUUACGGGUGUAUAGACGUUCGAUUCUAGUUUGCUCUAGAAUUGCCCCCUCCCCUCUCUGCGUGUCCCGCCAUUCAGCUGAUAUUAUUCACGGCCGAGUGUUUCAAAAACGGCACCACACACUCGGUGGUGCUCGUUUCGGUGUGUGUAUGUGGGCUGAUAGUAUCGAUGGAUUUAGGUUAUACCGUCGGUGAUUGUGUGUGCGGUCGUAUCAUGCUGAACUUUAUGCUAAAAUCGAUACAAAAGCAAACGGCUUGAGAUGCAAUCGGGCGAGAGAAAUGGUCCAGCGCAUUGGUUUGGAUCCCAUUUUAUGGGACCAGACAGGGAACCAUUAUCUAUGUGCUAUCUGUACGUGAAUCUGUGUGUGAGUGUGUGUAUGUGUGUGUGUGUGUGUGUGUAUAAGAAAAGGAGCUUUAUGAGAAAUAGGGAACAGCGCUUCCUACAGCUUCCUCGGUUUCAUAGGAAAAGGCAAGCUUUCGUCGUAGCAGCCGAUUGUUGUUUCCAGGGCCACAUUCAUAGCCGUGUGGCUCCGCCGGGCAGUAUCCAGUGCUGCCGGUCGGUGUGGUGGGCAGGUGCCCAGUGUUUACAAUCCAGCUCAACACAUCAAACGACACCCUCUGACGUCGUGAUUUAUUGUGCCCGAUGAAUGAUGGGCUUGCUGUACGGGCGAUGAAUAGGGAACGGCACAGGGGAUGGUUCCUCACUUAUCAACGCCAACGCUGGCAUAGAUACCGGGCGAGCGAGAGAGAGAGAGAGAGAGAGAAACGGGCAAGAGGCAUCUGAUGUGUCGGAAUGGUGAUGACAUAGCGUAAGCCCGGCAGCAAUGCACAACCUUGGUACGAACGGUGAUGGUGAAUGCCGCCGAGGCCGAGGUGUGCUUUAUGGAAAACCGAAAGUGCUUCUCCAACCUGUAUUUAUGAGCCAGAGCACCAGAAAAGCACUCCAGUCCAAUGGGGCGGAUGCUUUGUGGCAGGUUUGUGAGAGCGAUUUAUGAAAAUGUACAAAUACACUGCCUUGCAGAGGUUUCAGGACCUCCUCGACUAAAGUGCCGAAGCGAGACACAGCAAACGCCGAGCUUGCCUGAUAGAUGGAUGACUACGGAGCAGGACUGGCAGCAGGAAUGGGGGCGUCAGACAGGGAAGCAGAACAAUUUAAUGCAAAACAUGCAACAGCAUCCUUCUGCAGCGCCACCGGAGGAUAGGAAUGGUGUGCAAGCGCUGCGGGUGGAUUUAAACCGAAGCUUAGGCGGAUUGUUCACAGCGAGGGCGCAUUCAAAACACACAAAUAAAAACGACCUCGUCCCUACCACGGACCCAGCACAGAGUUGCAGUGUACUGACACACCCACUCACACACACAGACGACUGUUGCAUAAGUUGCAGAGGCUGCAAAUUGCCGAAACGGGGUCGGCAAACUAAUUGCAAACAGUGGCAAGUGCCAAACUUUCCAGCCCCUCUAGAAAGCCACCAACGGGCUGGGGAUGGUAAAUGGGAGCGGAAAUUAAAUUCAAUGUUAGUUCUCGCAAGAGUGUAAUUAAAAUGAUAACGCCGAUGGGUGCACCUGCCGGGGUGUAUGUGGUGGGGUUGGAGCAGCGACUCUCCGAGAUCUGCUGAGACGCAGCACAGCGAAUGCGUUGCAAAAAGUUGGCGCAGCCCAUGCAACCGGAAAUGAACGAUGUGGUUUGGGGAGGGAACGAAGAUGUUCUUUCAGCAGUUCCUUGCCUUCUCCCGUUGUGGCGGAUGGCGUAACGACCAAGGGAAGCGUGGAGGGCGUGAAAGCUGCGCUCGCGCUCUCGUGUGCACGCUCGUUUUGGGGCGCGUUAAUUAGACACUUAACCCCAAAAAUCCGUCCUAUGCUGACGCGCGCUAUCUAGUAUAAUGAGGUAAAUUUUUGGCCCCAUCAAGACAGCCCCAGCAGGCGGCUUGAGCAGCGAUGAAAAGUGGUGAUUGUAGCGACGGUAGUAAAACUUCGGUGCCCUUCCGAUGCUGUUCCGUGCACUGGGAACGGGGGAAGCUGCACCGGGAGGGAUCUGCUUUUAAGGGCGGAAGCAUAAGAGGAACGACGAGAUUGAGCAAGUUGUAGCGGGUGGAUGGAGAGAGAGUGAAAGAGAGAGAGAGAAAGCCGUUCUUAACGUGAUUUUCGCUGGAAUAGAGGUUAGGAAAAUCGUUCCCUUUUACCGCAGCAAACAAUAUUCUAUGCAAUAUCAUCUACCCUUAACGAAAUUGUUGUGGUAAUUGCACUAGACUGUAGGCGCAUACAUAACACUGACGCUUUGUCGCUGGGUCGUGCAAAAGGGUAGUCGUGAUUGAGCAGCAGUAGCAGCUAAAAACGCACACUGCAAAGGGCCAUUUGCCUUUGGGUGAUACAUUGCUAAAAAGUUUAAUAUAUGUAUGAACAAUCUCGCUACCUUUGCUACGAACAAAAGGGAUGCAAUGUUUCGCAACAAACUUUGUACGAUUUUCUAGCCGAACUGUGCUUAACAUUGCAGUAACUUUGGCAUGUGUUUAAUUUUUUGUGUGGAAAUAAUCAAUGAAACUCAAUGCAUUCAGGUAUGACACUUUCUGGCUAAGCGUAUUUUUAAAGUGAACAUUGUAAAAUAUACAAUUCUUUACAAAUCUUUUAAAAGCAAACAGCCGAACUAACCAUUGCUCGCGAAACAAGAUACAUAAUAGUCAUUAUCGACACGGGUUUUCCGUUUUUACUUUCUUUCCCCUUUAACACAAAUGCAGCCAAACUAAAUCGAGCAACAUAAUUCAAUGGUUCCGCUUCCUAUUUCGCGUCGUACACGGCACGGGUUUUUGCAUGUGCAGAUGCCAAAAAAUAGCAAACAAAACCGAACGAAAAGCUAAACCACCACGUCCAAACAUUA